rnacentral:lncRNA from 1 species
GGCCGGCCACUGCUAGUCCCCUAAAUUCGCGUCUGCUAAUUAUGCCCUUACAUACAUAUACAAAGGUAGUGUAACCUCUCUAAAACAUUUAAAUUUUGAUAAAUUUUAUGUUAAUAUAUUAGUAAAAUUGCGUUUAGACCCUUGUAAUAGAAUUAUGCCAAAAUGGAGGAAGGGUGGCACAUCAUGACACCAACUGCUGAUGUAAAUUGGAGUCUGUACAAAAAUGAUUGCAUGAUCAAAGAUGUUUGGAAGAAACACGAUGAAGCCUCCCCGAAGUUGAUGAUGAAAUCAAAGGGUACACAUGAAAGUACACAUUCAACACUUGCAGAUGUAUUCAAAGCCGUACAUAUCUCUUUAAUUAUUACCCACCAUUUUAAAAAUUAAUAGAAAGAAAAGCAGUGUAAGAGAGUCCAUGGUAGUUGGGAAUAAUCCAAGUUUUUCAAAAGUCUAACCUCACAGUUGUUUUUACAUUAAUAUUUUUGUUGCAAUAUUAUUAGAAAAUGCUUUAUUGUUUGACUUUUCAAUUA